rnacentral:rRNA from 1 species
CGGGUGAGUAACGCGUGGGUAACCUGCCUCAUACAGGGGGAUAACAGUUAGAAAUGACUGCUAAUACCGCAUAAGCGCACGGUCUCGCAUGGGACAGUGUGAAAAACUCCGGUGGUAUGAGAUGGACCCGCGUCUGAUUAGCUGGUUGGUGAGGUAAGGGCUCACCAAGGCGACGAUCAGUAGCCGGCCUGAGAGGGUGAACGGCCACAUUGGGACUGAGACACGGCCCAAACUCCUACGGAAGGCAGCAG